GUGGGGCUGGGUUCCCUCCUUUUUGGUUGUUUGGCCUGAGGCGACUCAACACUGGAGCCUACCUGGCUCUUUGGUGGGGCUAAUGGUGGAUUCUGAGAGGGCUCACGCCAAGGAGUACUUCCCAGAACUUCUGCUGCCAGUGUCCUGGUCCUCACAAUGAGACACAGCCACCCCCUGCCUCUGCAGGAGAUCCUCCAACACUAGCAGUUGCAGACCUGGAACUAAGUAUCUAAGUUCUGAAAACAGCCGUCAGAAGUAUCCACAGCCUCCUACGGAAGCGCCAUUCUCCUCCUCCACAACGCAUUCCACUUGUGCCCAGAAAUGUAGCAGAUGCCCAGAGCUGAUUAAAGAAAAGACUCGGUCGGUCUUUCCCUUCAUGGAGUUUAUGUCCCACCCAUCACCAGGUGCUUACGUGCCUCCUCGUGCAACACACAAGCAAACCACCAGCGAUGGGACUGAGCAAUAUAACGCGUGUGAUUGGAUGAUUUAGUCACGUGUUCCCUACUCUUGGGCAGAUACUCACGUGCCUGUCAGGCAUUUUGUUUUGUCCACAGUGUUUCUCCCCUCUUUGCAGAGGGCUUGGGGAAGAGGUGCAAUGAAAAGGAAAUUGGUGGAAAACAAGAAACAAAAAAGGAGAGACGUUUUCUGAGUACAUAUUAGAAAUUUGUUUACUUUCUAUUUAUGUAUUCACUUGUUUGUUUAUGUAUUUAUUACUUGCCUCAUUCUAGAAAGAUAUUUAAAGCAGCAUAUGAUACAAGCACCACAUCAUUAUAAAAAUAGAAAAUCGGAGGGAAGGAGAGAAAAAGAAACUAAGAUAAGGGAAAGUUCACAGGAAACAUCCUGACCAGGCCCACCUAUGAAUGGCUGCUGGAAGGAAGAAAUGAACACAUCACCUCUGGAACUAGGAAAUGUUUGACUUUACUCUCACCUCUUUGAGUAUAAAAGAAGCCUGAAUUCUAAUUCAGACAAGAUGGUUCUUUGGACAGUAGUCCACUAUCUUCUCGGUCUGCUGGCUUUCCAAAUAAAGUCUCUAUUCUUUGCCUAAAAAA